GCAGGCGGCCGGAUGAUCGCUGCCUCCCCCCGGGUAACCGGCGGGAGGGGGAGGAAAGUCCGAACUCCGCAGGGCAGUGUGCCGGAUAACGUCCGGGACGGCCGCUUCAAGGCGGCUGGACGGCCAGUGCAACAGAAAGGAUACCGCCCCCGCGGCGCAAGCUGCGGAGGUAAGGGUGAAAGGGUGCGGUAAGAGCGCACCGCGCGGCCAGUAAUGGACGCGGCACGGUAAACCCCACACGGAGCAAGACCAAAUAGGCAGGAAACGGUUCGCUACUACCCAGGCGGCCGAGCGUGCCGGCCCGGUGCGCCAAGGCGGGUGGAGCCGCGCGAGCGGCAGCCGGAACUUGCGGGUAGGUUGCUGGAGCCUGUCAGUAAUGGCAGGCCUAGAGGAAUGAUCAUCUAAAACAGAAUUCGGCUUACGGGCCGCCUGCACUU
rnacentral:RNase_P_RNA from 1 species